rnacentral:rRNA from 1 species
GACGCACCGAGCGAACGUUGUUCGGAAUCACUGGGCUUAAAGGGCGCGUAGGCGGGUUCUCAAGUCCGGGGUGAAAUCCCACAGCUCAACUGUGGAACUGCCUCGGAUACUGGGAGUCUCGAGGGUGGCAGGGGUAUGCGGAACUAUCGGUGGAGCGGUGAAAUGCGUUGAUAUCGAUAGGAACUCCGGUGGCGAAGGCGGCAUACUGGUCCACUUCUGACGCUGAGGCGCGAAAGCCAGGGGAGCAAACGGG